rnacentral:rRNA from 1 species
CCUCUUUUUUCAGGGAGGAACAAAAUGACGUGUACCUGAAGAAUAAGCAUCGGCUAACUCCGUGCCAGCAGCCGCGGUAAGACGGGGGAUGCAAGUGUUAUCCGGAAUUACUGGGCGUAAAGCGUCUGUAGGUUGUUUAAUAAGUCAACUGUUAAAUCUUGAGGCUUAACCUCAAAACAGCAGUCGAAACUAUUAGACUAGAGUAUAGUAGGGGUAAAGGGAAUUUCCAGUGGAGCGGUGAAAUGCGUAGAUAUUGGAAAGAACACCGAUGGCGAAAGCACUUUACUGGGCUAUUACUAACACUCAGAGACGAAAGCUAGGGUAGCAAAUGGGAUUAGAUACCCCAGUAGUCCUAGCUGUAAACAAUGGAUACUAGAUGUUGAACAGAUCGACCUGUGCAGUAUU